rnacentral:rRNA from 1 species
UACGGGGGGAGCAAGCGUUGUUCGGAUUUACUGGGCGUAAAGGGCGCGUAGGCGGCGCGACAAGUCACUUGUGAAAUCUCCGGGCUUAACCCGGAGCGGCCAAGUGAUACUGUAGUGCUAGAGUGCGGAAGGGGCUACUGGAAUUCCUGGUGUAGCGGUGAAAUGCGCAGAUAUCAGGAGGAACACCAAUGGCGAAGGCAGCUCGCUGGGAUGGUACUGACGCUGAGACGCGAAAGCGUGGGGAGCAAACAGG